rnacentral:rRNA from 1 species
UACGAAGGGGGCUAGCGUUGCUCGGAAUCACUGGGCGUAAAGGGUGCGUAGGCGGGUCUUUAAGUCAGGGGUGAAAUCCUGGAGCUCAACUCCAGAACUGCCUUUGAUACUGAAGAUCUUGAGUUCGGGAGAGGUGAGUGGAACUGCGAGUGUAGAGGUGAAAUUCGUAGAUAUUAGGAAGAACACCAGUGGCGAAGGCGGCUCACUGGCCCGGUGCUGACGCUGAGGCGCGAAAGCGUGGGGAGCAAACAGG